UACGAAGGGGGCUAGCGUUGCUCGGAAUUACUGGGCGUAAAGCGCACGUAGGCGGCUCUUUAAGUCUGCUGUGAAAUCCCCGGGCUCAACCUGGGAAUGGCAGUGGAUACUGGCAAGCUAGAGUGCGGUAGAGGGUAGUGGAAUUCCCGGUGUAGCAGUGAAAUGCGUAGAGAUCGGGAGGAACACCAGUGGCGAAGGCGGCUACCUGGACCAGCACUGACACUGAAGCACGAAAGCGUGGGGAGCAAACAGG
rnacentral:rRNA from 1 species